AUUGAACGCUGGCGGCAGGCCUAACACAUGCAAGUCGAACGGUAACAGGAAACAGCUUGCUGUUUCGCUGACGAGUGGCGGACAGGUGAGUAAUGUCUGGGAAACUGCCUGAUGGAGGGGGAUAACUACUGGAAACGGUAGCGAAUACCGCAUAACGUCGCAAGACCAAAGAGGGGGACCUUCGGGCCUCUUGCCAUCGGACGUGCCCAGAUGGGAUUAGCUAGUAGGUGGGGUAACGGCUCACCUAGGCGACGAUCCCUAGCUGGUCUGAGAGGAUGACCAGCCACACUGGAACGGAGACACGGUCCAGACUCCUACGGGAGGCAGCAGUGGGGAAUAUUGCACAAUGGGCGCAAGCCUGAUGCAGCCAUGCCGCGUGUAUGAAGAAGGCCUUCGGGUUGUAAAGUACUUUCAGCGGGGAGGAAGGGAGUAAAGUUAAUACCUUUGCUCAUUGACGUUACCCGCAGAAGAAGCACCGGCUAACUCCGUGCCAGCCGCCGCCGUAA
rnacentral:rRNA from 1 species